UACGAAGGGGGCUAGCGUUGCUCGGAAUCACUGGGCGUAAAGGGUGCGUAGGCGGGUCUUUAAGUCAGGGGUGAAAUCCUGGAGCUCAACUCCAGAACUGCCUUUGAUACUGAAGAUCUUGAGUCCGGGAGAGGUGGGUGGAACUGCGAGUGUAGGGGUGAAAUUCGUAGAUAUUCGCAAGAACACCAGUGGCGAAGGCGGCUCACUGGCCCGGUACUGACGCUGAGGCACGAAAGCGUGGGGAGCAAACAGG
rnacentral:rRNA from 1 species